GAUGAACGCUGGCGGCGUGCCUAAUACAUGCAAGUCGAGCGAACAGACGAGGAGCUUGCUCCUCUGACGUUAGCGGCGGACGGGUGAGUAACACGUGGAUAACCUACCUAUAAGACUGGGAUAACUUCGGGAAACCGGAGCUAAUACCGGAUAAUAUAUUGAACCGCAUGGUUCAAUAGUGAAAGACGGUUUUGCUGCCACUUAUCGAUGGAUCCGCGCCGCAUUAGCUAGUUGGUAAGGUAACGGCUUACCAAGGCAACGAUGCGUAGCCGACCUGAGAGGGUGAUCGGCCACACUGGAACUGAGACACGGUCCAGACUCCUACGGGAGGCAGCAGUAGGGAAUCUUCCGCAAUGGGCGAAAGCCUGACGGAGCAACGCCGCGUGAGUGAUGAAGGUCUUCGGAUCGUAAAACUCUGUUAUUAGGGAAGAACAAAUGUGUAAGUAACUAUGCACGUCUUGACGGUACCUAAUCAGAAAGCCACGGCUAACUACGUG
rnacentral:rRNA from 1 species